GCCUCUGGACAGGGUCACUGUGGAACACCAUCCCAUACAAUCAGCAUCCCAUACAAUCAGCAUCCUGAGCCCAGUGUGAGCAGAGUGAGGAGCAGCGUGUGCCACUAGAGGGAGGUAGUUGUGAGGCAACCUCUCACAAAACCCUUAGGUUUGUUUAGGUUGUAUGCAGCACAGUAUAAAACAUGAGCCGGGGCCCAGAGACGAGGCUCAGCAGCAGGUGAAAGGAGUCAGUCUACUACUUAGCGUGACAAUCUGUGUUUAGUUUUGGACCGACUUGAGAAAGUUGUCCUCUGACCUCCACACAUACUCUUGUCAUGGUAUGAGGUUUUACACACAAACAGAGAGAAGAGAGAGAGAGAGAAAGAAAGAAAGAUAGAUAAAAACAAACAAUCCAGAAUAUUAAAAACCUGCCUGGUGGGUGGUUAAUCCCAGCACUCGGGAGGCAGAGGCAAGUGAAUGUCAGAGAUUGAGGCCAGGCCUGGUCUACAGAGUGAAUUCCAGGUCAGCCAGGGCUACACAGAGAAACCCUGUCUACAAAAAAAUAACAAAAAAGCUCUGGGAUGCAUGUCAAGUUCCUGACUGCAGAGGCCUUGGGGGAGAAGGGAACAUGAGGCCUGCGGCAAGGAAGAUGGAAAACCCAGGGUGUUUCUCCUGUUUCUGGGCAGUUUCUAGGCAGAAGGAAGGCCUGGAGUAUCAGUGCCGUGUCUCUUGGAAUAGGUCAUGCUUGCAGAGACGAAUAAGGUGAGGCAGGGGCUCAGCCUAAGUAGCUAAGACAGGUCCCAGAGCCUGCAUCCCUCAGAUCCAGCUGACCUUAGGGAAAGGUGGAGGAGGAAUAUCUCUGGAAGAGCCCCAAAAGCAGACUAGAGCAGGGGAGCUGGGCUUUCUCAUUGGUCAAUGGCUGUCCCACAGUGGAUGACAAACUUCCAGCUGAUGGAGGAGAGGCCCCGAGGCAAGCAGAAUAGGUGGGUGAAGAGAAGAGACAUGCCCUAGAGGCAGCAGUGGGCUAGAGAGGGUCUAAGUGGAGGGGCAGCCCCCCAGGAAGGCUGGCCUGGAACACUGGCCAGCAUGUGGUUAGGAAGUGGUGUGGCUGGAGCGCUUAGUGUCAGAUAGCAGAAGAGCAGGUUGGGAGCCACCAUGGGGACUGCCUUCCACUGAGUAAGAACUCAAGAGAGCAUGCAUCGGUAUCCGAAUCUGAAUGUGACUGGUUGAUACUCCCUAGAAGGAUACUUUGUACUUGUUGGCUGUGGGAAUGUGACAACUGUCACCUCCUGGACACACUCUGAAGGUGGGCCUGCGGGAACUGCUGAUGCACCGAAGAGAGAAGCCAGGAAUACUAACAGUAGGAUUGGGGCUGUACCCUGUAGUUGCCACUGACUGGAAAGCCAAGAGGAGCACACAGGCUGGUGGGGCACAGGAUGGCCAGGCAGGGUCCAGAAGGCUGUGCUUGUGGGACGGGGCUCUUCAACCAGCUGCUCUCACGGGCACCUGCCUUUGUGCCACAAGGCCCCGUGGUGGUUUGGAAACAGGCUGGCCCCCAGGUUUUAGUCUAGAGCCUGCCGUUCUUGGGAGGUCUCUUACCUGUUGCCUGCAGAGCUGAAGUCUCUUGUCCUGUUUGCAAGUCUAUUGCUUGCUUGUUGAGUUGAAUCUUCCUGAGAAACUGCCCCUGAGGCACUCAGUGUUCUGUCUGCCAAACUGCUGGUGUGCCCUACUCAGUCUCCAGAACAGCCCUGUAGGUCCAGCCCUCUCUGCAACCAGAGAACCUUGUUUUAAAUUUCAAAGGACCAGUGAGAUGGCCUGUUGGGGAAGGGCCUUGUCACUAAAAUAUGAGUUUGAUCUCUGGGUCCCAUAGGGUGGAACUGACUCCUGCAAGUUGUCCUCUGACCUCCAUGUUAGUACUGUGGCACAUGCCUCCUCCACAAAUAAACGUAAUUAAAUCUAAAGGUACCCUGAGAUUUCUGUAUAGGAAACAACUGUUUUAAAAAAUCUCACUGUGGGGAGGCAGAGACAGGCAGAUUUCUGAGUUCGAGGCCAGCCUGGUCUACAAAGUGAGUUCCGGGACAGCCAGGACUAUACAGGGAAACCCUGUCUCAAAAAAACAAAAACAAAAAACCAACAAAAACAAACAAAAAAAUCUCACUGUGUCUCAGUUUCCUGUUCUGAAAAGUGGGGAUAAGAUGGGCCAUUGAGAUAGCUCAGUGGGUAGAGGGUACAUACUGCCAGGUCUGAUGACCUGGGUUCGAGUCCUAGGACAUGUAUAAGAAGAGACUUCUCACCUCCAUAUAAACACCAUGGCACUUGGCGUGUGUGUGUGUGUGUGUGUGUGUGGCACACGCACACACGGUAAAAAUGUAAAAUAAAGUGAGGAUAAAAAUCGUGUGUGACUCAGGGACUAGUGAAGGUUGAGAAUAGUGGAACCUCGAUGGUAAUAAAUGUUAAAGCUUAUUG
rnacentral:lncRNA from 1 species